AGCCGAUGAUGAAAUCAAACUUCAAUUUGGGAUUGCGCAAUUGGUAACAAUUGGCGCACGCAUGACCAUUGACUAAUCUUCUCUCUGAUGGCU